ACCUAAAUGAUGAUCACAACAAUCCUGAACUACCAUGUGGUAUUCUAAAUCGAGCUUUUUAAUACUGAUGAUG